rnacentral:rRNA from 1 species
UACGUAGGGGGCAAGCGUUGUCCGGAUUUCUUGGGCGUAAAGAGCGUGUAGGCGGCCAGACAGGUCCGUUGUGAAAACUAGAGGCUUAACCUCUAGACGUCGAUGGAACCCGUUUGGCUAGAGUCCGGAAGAGGAGAAUGGAAUUCCUGGUGUAGCGGUGAAAUGCGCAGAUAUCAGGAAGAACACCCGUGGCUAAGGCGGUUCUCUAGUACGGUACUGACGCUGAGACGCGAAAGCGUGGGGAGCGAACAGG